rnacentral:rRNA from 1 species
AGAGUUUGAUCCUGGCUCAGGAUGAACGCUAGCGACAGGCCUAACACAUGCAAGUCGAGGGGCAGCGGGGAGGUAGCAAUACCUUUGCCGGCGACCGGCGCACGGGUGAGUAACACGUAUGCAAUCCACCUGUAACAGGGGGAUAACCCGGAGAAAUCCGGACUAAUACCCCAUAAUAUGGGCGCUCCGCAUGGAGGGUCCAUUAAAGAGAGCAAUCUUGGUUACAGACGAGCAUGCGCUCCAUUAGCCAGUUGGCGGGGUAACGGCCCACCAAGGCGACGAUGGAUAGGGGUUCUGAGAGGAAGGUCCCCCACAUUGGAACUGAGACACGGUCCAAACUCCUACGGGAGGCAGCAGUGAGGAAUAUUGGUCAAUGGUCGGCAGACUGAACCAGCCAAGUCGCGUGAGGGAAGACGGCCCUACGGGUUGUAAACCUCUUUUGUCGGAGAGUAAAGUGCGCUACGUGUAGCGUAUUGCAAGUAUCCGAAGAAAAAGCAUCGGCUAACUCCGUGCCAGCAGCCGCGGUAAUACGGAGGAUGCGAGCGUUAUCCGGAUUUAUUGGGUUUAAAGGGUGCGUAGGCGGCACGCCAAGUCAGCGGUGAAAUUUCCGGGCUCAACCCGGACUGUGCCGUUGAAACUGGCGAGCUAGAGUGCACAAGAGGCAGGCGGAAUGCGUGGUGUAGCGGUGAAAUGCAUAGAUAUCACGCAGAACCCCGAUUGCGAAGGCAGCCUGCUAGGGUGCGACAGACGCUGAGGCACGAAAGCGUGGGUAUCGAACAGGAUUAGAUACCCUGGUAGUCCACGCAGUAAACGAUGAAUACUAACUGUUUGCGAUACAAUGUAAGCGGUACAGCGAAAGCGUUAAGUAUUCCACCUGGGGAGUACGCCGGCAACGGUGAAACUCAAAGGAAUUGACGGGGGCCCGCACAAGCGGAGGAACAUGUGGUUUAAUUCGAUGAUACGCGAGGAACCUUACCCGGGCUCAAAC